rnacentral:misc_RNA from 1 species
CGUAAAGGUGCAUGAGUGGUGUUUGGUUUGUUACGGGUGGUUGGCUGUCUGCUCGCGCAGCAACGUCCACGCGUGCAUACCUCUUCAGUUUUGCAACAAGGCUUCGCUUGUCUUGUGCAUCUUGUGGGUUUUCUGUGUUGCAUACCUAAUCGAUGGUAACGUGUGGGUUUAUGACGUCCCUCUUCGUCACGCGUCGCUUAUGCGGCGUGGGAUGAACAUUGAAGCGGUCUUUGUGGUCCACCUUGUCCUUGCUUUUGCAAAGAUGAUAUGGCCUAUUAAGCAUUGCUUGGUGUCUUGUAUACGGAAGCUGAUGUGGGCAUGGGUCUUYUAAGAUCCUGAAUCUGUCCUCGUUUAGCGUUCUCGCUUCUCCAAAACGAUUGCCUGCCAUGUCUUGGCUUGUCCUUGCAUGGUGGGCUAUGUCGA